CAACCUCAACUCAUAUGGGACUACCCCCUGAAUUUAAGCAUAUUAAUGAGGGGAGGAAAAGAAACUAACAAGGAUUUUCUUAGUAGCGGCGAGCGAAAAGAAAAUAGUUCAGCACUAAGUCACUUCAUCUUUAUGGUGAAUGUGAGAUGCAGUGUAUGGAAUGUCUACAUUCUAAUAUGAGAAAUUAAUUAUUUAAGUCCUUCUUAAAUGAGGCCAUUUACCCAUAGAGGGUGCCAGGCCCGUAUAAAAUUAAUGAUUAUUAGAAGACAUUUCCAAAGAGUCGUGUUGCUUGAUAGUGCAGCACUAAGUGGGUGGUAAACUCCAUCUAAAACUAAAUAUAACCAUGAGACCGAUAGCAAACAAGUACCGUGAGGGAAAGUUGAAAAGAACUCUGAAUAGAGAGUUAAAUAGUACGUGAAACUGCUUAGAGGUUAAGCCCGAUGAACCUGAAUAUCCGUUAUGGAAAAUUCAUCAUUAGGAAUUAUAAUAAAUUUUAUUAUAAGGAAUAGUGUGCAUUUUUUCCAUAUAAGGACAUUGUAAUCUAUUAACAUCUUAAAAUUCAUCAUAAGAUCAUUAACGCAAAGUUUAUUCAAAUUAUUUUGCUUGCAAUUUAACAUAGAAUAAAUGUUGAUGAUUUGAUGAAGUGUUGAUAGAUUUAUUAUAUAUAAUGUAAAAAUUCUUUAUUGAAUUUUACAAUGGUAUAUAUUUUAAAUAUAUAUUUAUUGUAUACAUUUAUAUGAUUUACAAUGCGAAAGAUUCAGGAUACCUUCGGGACCCGUCUUGAAACACGGACCAAGGAGUCUAACAUAUGUGCAAGUCAUUAGGAAUAUUUAUAUAAACCUAUUGGCGUAAUUAACAUAACUGUUAAAUGGGAUUAAUUUUUAGUUCUAUUUUUAAUAGUCUAUUAAUUCAAUCCCGGGGCGUUCUAUAUAGUUAUGUAUAAUAAUACUUGUAUUAUUUAUACCUCUAACUAGAGCGUACCUUGAGCAUAUAUGCUGUGACCCGAAAGAUGGUGAACUAUACUUGAUCAGGUUGAAGUCAGGGGAAACCCUGAUGGAAGACCGAAACAGUUCUGACGUGCAAAUCGAUUGUCAGAAUUGAGUAUAGGGGCGCAAGACCAAUCGAACCAUCUAGUAGCUGGUUCCCACCGAAGUUUCCCUCAGGAUAGCUGGUGCAUUUAAAAAUUAUGUAAAAUAAUCUUAUCUGGUAAAGCGAAUGAUUAGAGGCCUUAGGGUCGAAACGACUUUAACCUAUUCUCAAACUUUAAAUGGGUAAGAACCUCACCUUUCUU
rnacentral:ncRNA from 1 species